AUAUUUUAUGUAUGUUGUCGGUUCACUGCAUUCAGAGUUAAAGACAGUUAUGUGGAUCCUGCUACAUGUCGCAUCUACUUAUUAAUAAUUUUCAGCUGAUGUUUGUUCUAGUGGUCCCAGGUCUGCACUUUGCUGCUUUCUCUGAUCCUGCUGGAAGUAAGAGGUAAGCAACAGCAAAGGUUGCGUCAAGGACAGCAUGAGUCAAUGGACCUAAUUUUCUCUUUUUAUAUAAUCUUUCACAGUGCAAAAUGCAGGAUUGAGUGGCCAGCCUUUUUGCGUGCUGCUUGAGCUCUCCUGAAUGGCUGCUGAAUAUCAGAUACUUCAAAUCCAACUAACAUUCAUACAAUAAGUAGCUUGUUAGCAAUGCAAAUAUUCCGGGAGCCAUAAAAAUUAAAGGAUCAUGUCCUAGAAGAAUAGAAAGGCCAGAAAGGAAAUUCAGAGAGCUUAAGCAACGGAAGGAGAAGCUAAGAACCAACCUACAAAAGAACAGGAACUAGAAUAACUACAGCAGAAGCAUGCAUUUUUUUUUUUUUAAAGGUGAAGGCAUGACUCAGCU